rnacentral:rRNA from 1 species
CAGCAGCCACGGUAAUACGUAGGGUGCAAGCGUUAAUCGGAAUUACUGGGCGUAAAGCGUGCGCAGGCGGUUUGUUAAGACAGAUGUGAAAUCCCCGGGCUUAACCUGGGAACUGCAUUUGUGACUGGCAAGCUAGAGUAUGGCAGAGGGGGGUGGAAUUCCGCGUGUAGCAGUGAAAUGCGUAGAUAUGCGGAGGAACACCGAUGGCGAAGGCAGCCCCCUGGGCCAAUACUGACGCUCAUGCACGAAAGCGUGGGGAGCAAACAGGAUUAGAUACCUGAGUAGUCCCUGUCUCUUAUAC